AUGUUUGCUUGCUGGCCCAUCUAAUCCGCAGGAGAAUUGAAGAAGCAAGCGCUGUUGUCCUGUCACACAGCUAGCUCGGUCCCUCUAUCAUUGUUGAAUGGUUUAUUCCCGGGGAAUAUGCCCUCGCUCCUCUGGCAUCAUCCGCAGCAUAUAUCCUCCGUCUCGUCUUCCACCUCGGAUCAGGUAGGCGCGGCGCGGACCGCAACACGCCAGCUUUCUUGCUCUUGUCUCUAAGCAGCAGCAGCUUCCUGUCUCUCCAGCCACCAUUCCAUUCUCGCUCCUUGGUAAUGAGGCUGGCUAG
rnacentral:precursor_RNA from 1 species